GGAACUCUCUAAUAAAUUAUCGCUGCAUAAGCGGUUUAGCUGCUAAGAUUCUGUACAAUUAGUACAGAAGGACUCUUACAGACAUGCUGACCAGUGACCAUGUAGGCAAAUUCGAUUUCUUUUGAUCUUUGAAGAUUUCGAAAGUAAGAUUUUCCUCCGUUCGCAAAAAACCCGGACGAGGAUGUCAUCUCGAACCCGGUCGAGGAUGUCAUUUCGCCGGCGUGACGAUGGAUCGAUCGAGAAACCGACUCGAGAAAAACCCGCCUGAGGAUGUCGUCUCGCCGGCUCGAUGGCGGAUCGAUCGAGGAACCCGACCCGAGACCGACCGAUUGGGGUUUCAAGAGUGGUAACCAAAGACACCAGGGUCCAACCAGGUAUGUUCCUGAUACCGUUCGACCAUAGGAAAGUGAUGCAAGAACAAGAGGGCUAGUAGUGACACUGCUGACACCUUCCAGCACACCGCAGCAGUUAGCCAUGAUGACGACACCGCCGUCGCCAUCGACCCCUGUCUCUCCUCUGCUUCUCCUCCUCCUCCUCCUCCUCUUCGUCUUCGUCUCGUCCUCGCCCUCUUCCUCUGCUUCGCUCUACGACACCUUCCUCCACUGCCUCGUCAACCACACGCAGACACUUGAACAGCAGCAGCAGCCGCAAGAACCCUCCCGAAUCCUCCAUGCCCCGACCAACUCCUCGUACCCGACCCUCCUCGGGUCUCUCGUCCGCAACCGCCGCUUCAACACCUCGUCGACCCCGAAGCCCCAGCUCAUCCUCACCCCCUCCCGCCCGUCCCACGUCCAGUCUGCCGUCCUCUGCACCAGAGGAACCGGCACGCAGCUCCGAAUCCGGAGCGGCGGGCACGACUACGAAGGUACCUCCUACGUCUCCCGUGCCCCUUUCUUGAUUCUGGACAUGUUUAAUUUUCGGUCCGUCGAUGUCGAUGUCAAACAAGCGACCGCUUGGGUCGGAACCGGAGCGACUCUUGGGGAAUUGUACUAUAGGAUUUGGGAAAAGAGUGGUCUUUAUGGGUUUAAUGCUGGGGUUUGCCCAACUGUCGGUGUCGGUGGGCAUUUGAGCUGUGGCGGAUACGGGAACAUGUUGCGGAAAUUCGGGUUGGCGAGCGAUAGCGUGGUCGAUGCACAGAUUGUGGAUGUCGAGGGUAGAGUUCUUGAUAGGAGCUCAAUGGGCGAGGAUUUGUUUUGGGCUAUUAGAGGUGGAGGUGGGGCGAGUUUUGGAGUGAUAUUGGGUUAUAAAGUGAAGCUUGUCCCUGUUCCGAAAGUGGUUACUGUUUUUAGAGUGGGGAGGACUAUUGAGGAAAACGCGACUGAGCUCGUGUAUCAGUGGCAGAACAUUGCGCCGAGGACUGAUAAUGAUUUGUUCAUGAGGCUUUUGCUUCAGCCUGUCAGUUCCAAGAGACAAAAGGGAGCUAAAACAGUUAAUGCCUCUGUUUUGGCUCUGUUUCUUGGAAAUGCGGAUAGGCUGGUUUCAAUGGUUAAUGAGGAGUUUCCGGAGUUGGGUUUGAGGAAAGAGGAUUGUGCAGAGAUGAGCUGGAUUGAAUCGGUUCUCUGGUGGGGGAACUUCAAUAGAGGUACGGCUGUGGAAACUCUGCUAGACCGAAUGCCUAAGUCGGUGAGUUUCUUGAAGAGGAAAUCAGAUUAUGUGCAGGAACCGAUGUCAAGGGAGGAAUUGGAGUUGCUUUGGGAUAAGUUGAUUGAAUUGGGAAAGGUCGGAUUUGUGUUCAAUCCGUAUGGAGGAAAAAUGGGCAAAAUCCCUGUGUCAGACACUCCAUUUCCUCAUCGAGCUGGGAAUCUGUUUAAAAUACAGUACUCGAUCAGUUGGAGUGAAGAUGGAAUUGAAGCGGAGCAGAGUAAUCUGGCUAAAGCAAGAGAGCUUUACAAUUUUAUGACUCCGUAUGUGUCGAAAAACCCACGAAGGGCUUUUUUGAACUAUAGGGACCUCGAUAUUGGGAUAACUGAUAACGGCGAAAAUAGCUACGAGGAAGGCAGUGUGUAUGGGGUGAAGUACUUUGCUGAAAACUUUAAUAGAUUGGUGAAAGUUAAAACUGCAGUUGAUCAGCAGAACUUCUUCAGGAAUGAGCAAAGUAUUCCUGUUCUUCCAAGAUCCUCCUCGGCCAUGACUCAGUAUUCAGGGUCAACAGAGACAACUAGAAAAGUGAUGGUAUUGGUCAUCCUCGCCCUCUUUCUGAAGGAUCUCAUGACCAUCUAUUCCUAGAAAUGAGGGCCAGUGUCUUCUUGAGGAAUGUUAGACUUCCUCAGCUUCCUCUUCGGAAGGAAGAAGGAAAAUGAUAAUGCUCCAUCUUGUGCUGUCAGUUGGAAUUUAUUAGUUGGCUACUGAUACUUGUAAGGAAGAGGUAAUCACGUCUUCUUUCAUGUAAUGUCAAACUUGUCGUAAUUGGAUGACAUGCAUGAUUUGCCAAAACACAGGAUACAUCUGAUGCGAGACUUAGCUGCUCUUAUUGAUUGCUCAUGGUGGGGGAACUCUAGUAGAUUAGAAUCCCGGGAGGACAAGGAGGAAUUGAAGUCUGUGGCAGAAUGUUACUUAAUGGCAAUUGUUGAUUGCUGCCUGUGGAGGAACUCUGCAAGAUUGAUUCAUCAGGAGGACAAAGUAGGGUUUGAGGUUUGUGGCCAAAUAUUGCUCAGUAUGGUUUUCGUUAUAGAAAAGAGGGAGAAAGGAUUCUGUUAUCGAUCAUAAUUAAUCCAUUGUUGUGAGUUUACCUAAAGAAGAUACUAAGGAAUGAAAGGAAAGAAAGAUUCUGCAUCUAA